GCAGUCGUGCCCUACUGGUUAGGGCUUCAGGCUUGUAACCGGAGGGAUGCCGGUUCGAUCCCCGACCAGUAGGA
rnacentral:tRNA from 1 species